rnacentral:lncRNA from 1 species
GAGCAUAAUGAGACAGAAAUUCUAAUUUACUUGACAAAAAAGGAAGAUCAGUUUAAAUCACCAUGUGGAUAACAGGACUUUAAAAUGGGCCAACUAGGCUAGACAAGACAUUUUCCACAGCAGAAAAAUAUCAUAAUAUGCUAUCAUAUCUAUCUUACAUGGGCAAUCUCUGGAUACCUUUUAAAAACAAUACUUUUCUUAAAGUGUAACUACUAUAGUGGAUUGAAUUGUGACCCCUCAAAAUUCAUGUCCUCCCGGAACCUCAGAAUGUGACCUUAUUUAGCAAUAGGGUAUUUGCAGAUAUGAUUGAGGUAAGGAUUACAAUGAGAUCCUAUUAGAUAAGUAAAAGGACACACACACACACGUACACACACACACACACACACAUACAGAGACAAAAAGGAGAAUAGCACAUGAAGAUGAAGGCUGAGAUUUGAGUGAUUGAUCCAAGAAUCGCCAGCAAAUACCAGAAACUAGGAGAAAGGUAAGGAACAGAUAAAACCUCAGAGCCUCCAGAAGGAGCUAACCUUUCCCAGACUGACUGACAGAUUUUUUUUUUUUAUUUUAUUUUACUUCUGUCUUCCACAACUGUAGAGAGAAUAUAAUUCUGUUGCUUCAAGCCACUGAGUUUGUGAAAAUGGGUUAUGGCAACCCUAGAAAACUAAUGCAGACUGGGACUGGGAGCUUGGGUGCUGUAGUAACAGACACCUAAAAAUGUGGAGGUGGCUUUGACGUUGGGUAAGGUGUUAAGGCUGAAAGAACUUAGAGGUUGGUGAUAGAAAAAGUCCUAGACUGUCAUUAUGAGGAGGUAGAAAUACAGUGUUGAAAGUGUUUCUGGUAAGAGCUCAGAAGUAAAAAGCACUGUAGAGAAGGUGUCUCAUCAUGAAUAUCCUGUUGUUCCUGAACAGAAUCUGUGUAGAAAUGUGUGUUCAGGUCUCUAGUGAGACUUUAAAGGGAAAUGAGGAACAAGAUCUUAGUGGAAAUUGGAGAAAAGGUGGUUUUUGAUAUAAAGGGUCAGAAGACUUGGCUGAAUUUUGUUUUUUUCAUUCAGGGUGGAAAACAGAACUUGGAUAGGGAGCUGAGGAGAUUCCCAAACAAAACUCCUUUCUGCUCAUAGUAAAAUGCCUGAGGAAAGAAGAAAUUGAACCAGGAGGUAGUAGGCAAAAAGGAAACAGCAUUUGUUCAUUUGGAAGGAUCCAAGCCAAUUCAGAUUAAAAAGGAUGGAAAAAACACAAACAAGGAAAUUCAUUUUGGGAGAGUGUGCUGGGGUGAGAGGGCCAAGGGUGACUCCUGGAUCCACUCAACCAUCCCAGCAGAAACUGGGAGUUGAGAAGGAGUUACACAGGAAGCAUCAGUGAAGAACUCUUCUGUUUAAUAGUGUGGGUCUCCUUGACAUACACCAAAGACUGAUGAGGUUUUUGAGAAUGUUCCAUCAGCAGAAAUAUGGCCAUCUUGAACUGAGGGGAACAGAGACAGGAUGAAGUGAAGAGGCUGUUAAACCCCUGAGAUUCUGCAGCCAGGAAAUGGACUGAUAGAACUACUUGACUACAAGCAUGGGCUGCCCCUCGGGAAAAAGGAAGGACUCCAAAGACAGAGUUGUGGAUACAGAAGUAGAGCCCAGAGAGACAGGCUUAGAGCCAGGGGCCAACAAGGAUACCAUCAUGGACCCAAAGGGAAGGGCCUCAAGCCUCAGAGGAUCUUGCCAGCUUUGAAACCUAAUGGGAUUUUCCCUGUUGGGUUUAGAGUUGCUGUUGACCCCUUUCCAUCCCUAGAUGGAAAUGAGAAAGUCUAUUCUGUACCUGUACAAUUCAUCUAUCCUGGAGGAGACAAGUUGUUUUCUAGCUUCAUAGGUCCACAGAUGGGGCAGAAGUUUUCUAGAGCAUGGGAACAUACCCAGAGUCUCACCCAUGCCUCGUUUAGAUGAUUUAGGUGAUGAGAUUUGGGACUUUUUUGUGUUGAUGAUAUUUAGGUGAGAGUGGGCUUACAAUAAAUGCUGGAAUGGGUUAAGACUUUGGGGGAUCUUGGGAAGUUCCUGUAGUGGCUGAGCAGAAAUGAAUCUGACUAGUAUCCAUGAGGACGCAGGUUUGAUCCCUGGCCUCACCCACUGGGUUAAGGAUAUGGCACUGCUGUGAGCUGUGGUGUAGGUCACAGAUGUGGCUCAGAUCUGGUGUUGCUGUUGCUGUGGCAUAGGCAGGCAGCUACACCUCCGAUUCAACCCCUAACCUGGGAACCUCCAUAUGCUGCAGGUGCAGCCCU